rnacentral:rRNA from 1 species
AUUGAACGCUGGCGGCAUGCUCUACACAUGCAAGUCGAACGGUAACAGGCCGCAAGGUGCUGACGAGUGGCGAACGGGUGAGUAAUGCAUCGGAACGUGCCCAGUCGUGGGGGAUAACUACUCGAAAGAGUAGCUAAUACCGCAUACGAUCUAUGGAUGAAAGCGGGGGACCGUAAGGCCUCGCGCGAUUGGAGCGGCCGAUGUCAGAUUAGGUAGUUGGUGGGGUAAAGGCUCACCAAGCCAACGAUCUGUAGCUGGUCUGAGAGGACGACCAGCCACACUGGGACUGAGACACGGCCCAGACUCCUACGGGAGGCAGCAGUGGGGAAUUUUAGACAAUGGGCGCAAGCCUGAUCCAGCAAUGCCGCGUGCAGGAAGAAGGCCUUCGGGUUGUAAACUGCUUUUGUACGGAACGAAACGGCUCUGGUUAAUACCCGGGGCUAAUGACGGUACCGUAAGAAUAAGCACCGGCUAACUACGUG